rnacentral:rRNA from 1 species
UACAGAGGGGGCAAGCGUUGUUCGGAAUUACUGGGCGUAAAGGGCGCGUAGGCGGCCUACUAAGUCGAACGUGAAAUCCCUGGGCUUAACCCAGGAACUGCGUCCGAUACUGGCAGGCUUGAAUCCGGGAGAGGGAUGCGGAAUUCCAGGUGUAGCGGUGAAAUGCGUAGAUAUCUGGAGGAACACCGGUGGCGAAGGCGGCAUCCUGGACCGGCAUUGACGCUGAGGCGCGAAAGCCAGGGGAGCAAACGGG